CUGAGUGCCUGUCGAUGCAGGCUGUUCAUAUAUCUAAAUCAUAUGUGAAGAAAGGGCAGGGCAAGACCGGUGCCAGCCGCCGCGGUAAUACCGGCUGCUCGAGUGAUGGCCACUAUUACUGGGUUUAAAGCGUCCGUAGCUUGACUGUUAGGUCUCUUGGGAAAUCUUCGCGCUUAACGUGAAGGCGUCUAAGAGAUACCGGCAGUCUUGGAACUGGGAGAGGUAAACCGUACUUCGGGGGUAGGAGUGAAAUCUUGUAAUCCUCGAGGGACGACCUAUGGCGAAGGCAGUUUACCAGAACAGCUUCGACAGUGAGGGACGAAAGCUGGGGGAGCAAACGGGAUUAGAUACCCCGGUAGUCCCAGCCGUAAACAAUGUGCGUUAGGUGUGUCGGUAACCACGUGUUACUGAUGCGCCGAAGAGAAAUCGUGAAACGCACCACCUGGGAAGUACGGUCGCAAGGCUGAAACUUAAAGGAAUUGGCGGGGGAGCACCACAACAGGUGGAGCCUGCGGUUUAAUUGGAUUCAACGCCGGGAAGGGCG
rnacentral:rRNA from 1 species